rnacentral:rRNA from 1 species
AUGAGGCCCCGCAACCUCGCGCUGUCCCUUUCGUCCUCAACACCAGCAGCUCUGUCGGCCUUCCCGUCGCCGCCCCCUGUCCCGGCCGGCAAGCUUCCGCCGCCUCCCGCCGAGCUGCCUGCUAGCUGCACGGCGUGCGUCGUCCUGCCGGCGCCUCCGUCCGCUGCUCGAUCCGAUCUGGAUCGGGAGCUCCUGUCCGCGCUGCCGCAGCCGAUGCUGGGCCGCCUAGUCCAGGUUGGUGGGGGGUCCGUGAAGGUGCCUGAGGUGCCCCUAGGCAAAUUGCCAGCUUCCGCGUCCGCGAGGCUCCCUGUGUCGGCUGCUGCUCCGACCUCGCCCAUCGUCUCUGCCGCGAAGCUGGCCGCGGCUACGCUGGCCUCCCGCAAGGCCGACUCGUCCAUAGGUGGGCGGAGGGCCGGCACCGGCGCUACCUCUGCUCCCAUUGUCGGCGGCUCCCCCGGCCAGCUGCCGUCGUCCCCGGCGGCGGCGCCUGCAUCCCUGCCGGGGCCAGACCAGGCACCUCUGGAGCUCCUGCGGACUGGGUUUCUGCAGCAUGUGGCGAGCCCCUGCUUGGUCGUCACGGUACUUGAUGCCCAGGAGCCGGCGCCUAAUGGUGUGGGCACGUGGGGUUCUACUGCCAAUGACAAAGAGGAAGAGGACGAAGAAGAACUGGUGCCACAAGAUGCCUCCAUGGUCUUCGACUCCACCCUGGUCCCUACAACACAGCUCGCUGCCAAUGGCUAG